CACCAGAUCCUUAGCCCACUGAGCAAGGGCAGGGAUGGAACUCACGUCCUCAUGGAUACGAGUCAGGGUCAUUUCCACUGAGCCACAAGAGGAACUGCCAGCAUGGAUAUUCCUGCACAGCAGGCAGCUUUCCUCCAAGUGGUGGUUUGGGGACCGGGCUCCUCCCAUUCGCUGGUGUUCCCUGACGUCAAUACUUGGCUGCCAGGACCACUUGCCUGUGUGCCUCAGACUAACCCAAAGAAGGAGAAUGGAGGGCAUGGGUCUGGGAGGGGCGGUCGGAACCUCGCCCCAGAAGAGGGGCACAUCUCUUCUGUUCACCUGCCCCACGGCCAUGGAAAACUGCAAGGAAAGCCGGGCGCUGUGAUUAAUCGACUGUGUUCUCAGGAAGAAGAAACAAGUUUGGGAAAGUCAUUUCCCCGGUUCCCCACACUGCUUUGCAGAGGCAUGAAGCACUUGGUGAGGGGCAAGUUCAGUGUGUUGAGGACUCUGCCAGGAUAGGUAUGUGUGUAAAGCUGUCCAUAUACACUUGUCUGCCCAACAACCCUUUGAGGUAGGAAGUAUGCCCACUUAGCUGAUGAAGAAGGGACGCUCAGAGAGGGAAAUGAAUUUUCCCAAGGUCACACACAAGCUAGCAAGGAGGGGAGCCAGGGGUAAGCCAACCUGUCCCCCUGCAGAGUCCUCGCCCUUCUCUGCUGUGCUGUACAGGCACCGGUCUUCUUUUCACAACCUCGAAAUGCCCUAGCAAACAGCCAGAAUUAAGAGCCACCUGCUGUUCCUCAACUCUCCUAAAACCAAAAUGACAGUUUUAGGUGGGUGAGCCCUCCCUUCGACCUGGCUGAGGGCUCAGAAUCCUUCCUAGCCAGUGCCUUAGCUCCAAGCACCUGCGCUCUGCUAAUGAGCUCUUGACAAUGAGUACCAUGCGAGAUGAAGUGGGAGUUCUGUGUCCUCAGGAGCUCAUCUUUCUGUGCCCCACAGGAGUCAAGAUAUUUCCUAAGAGUUUGGACCUAACCUGACAGUAGUGCGUUCUACUUAAGAGCCCUGUUUUUGGAGGUUGAUCUUGGGUCUGCAUUUAGCUAUUAUUUGGGGUCGAUUACUAGACCGCUCUGGCACUUAGUUUUCUCGUCUGUAAAACGGCAGUAAUCCUGUCUGUAUUGGAAGCUAUGUGGUGUGUCUUCCUCAUGACAAUGGCUCGCACGCACCUUCCCACACCCAGAGCCCUCAGCAACUUGGCGUUAUCCGUCUCGGGGCGGGGAGGACAUCUGACUCACGGGAGGGCUAGCCACUUCUCUCCUCUGGCAUUUUCGAUGUGGGAUUGAGCACAUCUAGUCCUUUUGUCUCUAGGACUCAUUUCGACCUCGAGGGCUCAGGGGAGGUCACAGUCUCCCAAGCACAGGGUGUGAGAAACGGAGGGAGAGGAUCGGCAGAGAAAGAAGAAAGAUGUAGCCGUGAGAGCGAGGCAGAGAUGACACCUUUGCCUUUUCAAACCAGAUUCCCCCUGUCAGCAAUGGGAAUCCUAACCACCAAGCCACCUCACCGCCUCGUUAGGACGAAACGAGGAGAGGUCUGUAAAGAGCCGAGCCUGUAAAGCAAGAGCUCAAUAAGUGGCAGCUGUGACUUCUUGUGCCCUUCACUCCUAUCUGGGGCGGAUUCUCUUCCCAUACAGGUCUUGCUGAGAUACAAUUUUUUGUGUCACAAGACAAAUUCUUCUUUUUCAGUUUUUCUUAAUUAUACUUGAUCAAAUUUUUUCUUUAAGCUUUAUAGACCAGUAAGGCUUUAAUGUCCAACUGCCACAACAAAGAGCCGCACCCGAAGGUAAACCCAGGGAAGAGAGUGAUGCGUCACCCCCUGGGGACCCUUCCAGGGUCACUGUUACUGUCCUGGGCAAGUUGGGAGCCCCACCACGUUUCAGUGCCAGUGGGGUUCUCCCGGACGGGCCUCAGGAAGCCAGACGGUGGCUGGUUUCCACUUCACGUGUGUAUGAGCAGAGCAUGGUCUCACAUCACCCGGGUGCCGCCCAGCAUUGACUCGUUCGCCCCCUGCCCUUGAAGAGCAAGCCAGCCGUGUUCACACCACACCCCCCACAUUUGACACAGGGCGUGGCACGUGGCAGGAGUUCAGUAAGUAUUGUUCCAAAAGUGGAAUGCCAUUUUAUAGUCCCUGUCACAUACCCAGGAAGUGGCCCCAUGGAGGGAUUCAAACGGAGGGUUCUCCAGCUCCAAAGCUGUGUCCUUUCUGCUGUUGGUGUCUUUAUGGAGCUUCCACCCCAGCAACUAAAAGCUGCCUCUGCUCUGGGUCCUGUGUAGACUCAGCCUCAUCCUCAGGUGUUCACCGUACCCAUCUUCACCACCCCCACCCUUCAGUCAAAACUCUGAUCCACGUAUCCUCCUCUCCAUCCUGGGCUCAUGUAAUAAUUAUUGAGCAGGAUAAAUAGCCACUGUUCAGCAUGGAAGAACAAAAGAAAAGGAAAGGAAAGCAAGCCUCCCCUCCCCCAUUCUAGCCAUCAGGAUAGUCACAGAAAAUAAAUAUUUAAAAAUAGUGAUGAUUAAUUAUGAUAUAGUGUGCUGAGUACUAUGGCCAAAUAAGUAUGCAAAAAAAGUGAACUCUCCCAAGGGUAGGAGCUACAGAACGUUUCAGAGGUGACAUUUGUGCUGACCCUUGUGGGAUACGGCGGAGAAAGAAGAGAAAAUGGAAUUCCAAGUUCAAGGAACUGCCUGAACUGCUUUGCAGACACAUGAAGCACUUGGUGAGAGGCAGCAGCCAGAGCACGGCCACAUGCCUGGGUGGUUAGAGACUGCAGGAGGAGGGAGGGGAGCAGACUGGGGACCCAUCACCAAGGCUCUGAAGGCCCCACUCAGCUCUGAGUGACCAAAAGGACACACUGGGCAUGUGCUUAAGGUACCAGCGAGACAGCCCCAAAAUAAAACCACAAAAGAGAGGACAUCGAAAAAGAAGGGAAUGGAAUUUCCACAGUCCUUGGAGUUUUGUGCACUCUU